rnacentral:rRNA from 1 species
UACGUAGGCAGCGAGCGUUGUUCGGAGUUACUGGGCGUAAAGGGUGCGUAGGUGGGUUGGUAAGUCAGUGGUGAAAUCUCCAAGCUUAACUUGGAAACUGCCGUUGAUACUAUCAAUCUUGAAUCUCGUGGAGGUAAGCGGAAUAUGUCAUGUAGCGGUGAAAUGCUUAGAUAUGACAUAGAACACCGAUAGCGAAGGCAGCUUGCUACACGAGUAUUGACACUGAGGCACGAAAGCGUGGGGAUCAAACAGG